AGCAGUCGCCACGGUAACACGAAGGGGGCUAGCGUUGUUCGGAAUUACUGGGCGUAAAGCGCACGUAGGCGGACAUUUAAGUCAGGGGUGAAAUCCCGGGGCUCAACCCCGGAACUGCCUUUGAUACUGGGUGUCUAGAGUAUGGAAGAGGUGAGUGGAAUUCCGAGUGUAGAGGUGAAAUUCGUAGAUAUUCGGAGGAACACCAGUGGCGAAGGCGGCUCACUGGUCCAUUACUGACGCUGAGGUGCGAAAGCGUGGGGAGCAAACAGGAUUAGAUACCCGCGUAGUCCCUGUCUCUUAUAC
rnacentral:rRNA from 1 species